rnacentral:sRNA from 1 species
CUUCGACUAAGGUUCGAUUCGAGCGAAAGCGAGAAAGCGUUGCCGCAGGCAACGACCCGAAGGGCGAAGCGCGCAGCGCUGAGUAAUCCUUCCCCCACCACCA